UACGUAGGGGGCAAGCGUUGUCCGGAAUCAUUGGGCGUAAAGGGCGCGUAGGCGGCGCGGGCAGUCAACGGUGAAAGCUUGGGGCUCAACCCCGAGUCGGCCGUCGAUACUCCCGCGCUCGAGCACUGUAGAGGCAGGUGGAAUUCCGGGUGUAGCGGUGGAAUGCGUAGAGAUCCGGAAGAACACCGGUGGCGAAGGCGGCCUGCUGGGCAGUAGCUGACGCUGAGGCGCGACAGCGUGGGGAGCAAACAGG
rnacentral:rRNA from 1 species